rnacentral:rRNA from 1 species
UAUGUAGGGUGCGAGCGUUGUCCGGAAUUAUUGGGCGUAAAGGGCUCGUAGGCGGUUUGUCGCGUCGGGAGUGAAAUCAUCUGGCUUAACUGGGUGCUUGCUUUCGAUACGGGCAGACUAGAGGUAUGCAGGGGAGAACGGAAUUCCUGGUGUAGCGGUGAAAUGCGCAGAUAUCAGGAGGAACACCGGUGGCGAAGGCGGUUCUCUUGGCAUGAUCUGACGUUGAGGAGCGAAAGUGUGGGGAGCGAACAGG